AUUGAACGCUGGCGGCAUGCCUUACACAUGCAAGUCGUGCGCCCCGCAAGGGGAGCGGCGGACGGGUGAGUAACGCGUGGGAACGUACCUUUUGCUUCGGAAUAGCCUCGGGAAACUGGGAGUAAUACCGAAUGUGCCCUACGGGGGAAAGAUUUAUCGGCAAAAGAUCGGCCCGCGUUGGAUUAGGUAGUUGGUGGGGUAAUGGCCUACCAAGCCGACGAUCCAUAGCUGGUUUGAGAGGAUGAUCAGCCACACUGGGACUGAGACACGGCCCAAACUCCUACGGGAGGCAGCAGUGGGGAAUAUUGGACAAUGGGCGCAAGCCUGAUCCAGCCAUGCCGCGUGAGUGAUGAAGGCCCUAGGGUUGUAAAGCUCUUUCACCGGUGAAGAUAAUGACGGUAACCGGAGAAGAAGCCCCGGCUAACUUCGUGCCAGCAGCCGCGGUAACAC
rnacentral:rRNA from 1 species